rnacentral:rRNA from 1 species
CAAUAGCGUAUAUUAAAGUUGUUGCAGUUAAAAAGCUCGUAGUUGGAUUUCUGGAUGGAGCGACCGGUCGGGCAUUAAUUUGUCUGCACUGGAGUCGGUUCCGUCCAUCCUCUUGGAAAGUGCGUCGGGCAUUAAGUUGUCUGGCGUAUGAUCCAAGUCGUUUACUGUGAAAAAAUUAGAGUGUUUAAAGCAGGCCUUCGCCUUGAAUACAUUAGCAUGGAAUAAUAAGAUAGGACUUUGGUCUAUUUUGUUGGUUUGCAGACCGAAGUAAUGAUUAAUAGGGAUAGUUGGGGGUAUUUAUAUUCCGAUGUCAGAGGUGAAAUUCUUAGAUUUUCGGAAGAUAAACUUAUGCGAAAGCAUUUACCAAGGAUGUUUUCAUUAA